rnacentral:rRNA from 1 species
GAUGAACGCUGGCGGCGUGCUUAACACAUGCAAGUCGAACGAUGAAGCUCAGCUUGCUGGGUGGAUUAGUGGCGAACGGGUGAGUAACACGUGAGUAACCUGCCCUUAACUCUGUGAUAAGCCUGGGAAACUGGGUCUAAUACCGGAUAGGAGCGUCCACCGCAUGGUGGGUGUUGGAGAGAUUUAUCGGUUUUGGAUGGACUCGCGGCCUAUCAGCUUGUUGGUGAGGUAAUGGCUCACCAAGGCGACGACGGGUAGCCGGCCUGAGAGGGUGACCGGCCACACUGGGACUGAGACACGGCCCAGACUCCUACGGGAGGCAGCAGUGGGGAAUAUUGCACAAUGGGCGCAAGCCUGAUGCAGCGACGCCGCGUGAGGGAUGACGGCCUUCGGGUUGUAAACCUCUUUCAGUAGGGAAGAAGCGAAAGUGACGGUACCUGCAGAAGAAGCACCGGCUAACUACGUG